UUCCGGUUGAUCCUGCCGGAGGCUACCGCUAUUGGAGUUCGAUUAAGCCAUGCGAGUCGCGAGAAUUAGAUUCUCGGCGUACCGCUCAGUAACACGUGGGUAACCUGCCCUAUGCUGGAUAAUAACCUCGGGAAACUGAGAAUAAUGAUCUAUAGUUCACUACGCCUGGAACGGUGAGUGGAUGAAAGCCCCGGCGGCAUAGGAUGGGCCUGCGGCGUAUCAGGUUGUAGGGGGUGUAAUGUACCCUCUAGCCCUCUACGCGUACGGGUGUUGAGAGACAUCGCCCGGAGAUGGAUUCUGAGACACGAAUCCAGACCCUACGGGGUGCAGCAGGCGCGAAAACUUGGCAAUGCGAGAAAUCGUGACCAGGGAACUCCAAGUGCAUGGGGUAAGACCUAUGCUUUUCUAGACUCUAAAAAGGUCUUGGAAUAAGAGGUGGGUAAGGACGGUGCCAGCCGCCGCGGUAAUACCGGCGCCUCAAGUGGUAGUCGCUUUUAUUGGGCCUAAAACGUCCGUAGCCGGUCUGAUACAUUCGUGGGUAAAUCAACCAGCUUAACUGGUUGAAUUCUGCGAGGACGGUCAGACUUGGGACCGGGAGAGGUGUGGGGUACGCUCAGGGUAGGGGUAAAAUCCUGUCAUCCUGAGCGGACCACCUGUUGCGAAGGCGCCACACUAGAACGGAUCCGACGGUCAGGGACGAAGCCUAGGGGCACGAACCGGAUUAGAUACCCGGGUAGUCCUAGGUGUAAACGCUGUGGACUUGAUGUUGGGGGUGCUCCGAGCACUCUCAGUGUCGAAGCGAAGGCGAUAAGUCCACUGCCUGGGAAGUACGGUCGCAAGGCUGAAACUUAAAGGAAUUGGCGGGGGAGCACCGCAACCUGAGGAUUGUGCGGUUUAAUUGGAUUCAACGCCGG
rnacentral:rRNA from 1 species